AGACUUUCGCUUUGCACAAACAUCUUCUCUGAGUGAUCCAACACCUCCUGCAGCUCUGGCAAACUCUGGGUCAGCCCGGAGUCCCUCGAAGCUGGAGCUGAGGUCAGAGAAGCCCAGGACAGCCACGAAGCUGUGGGUCCUCGCGCCUAACAACCACGGUUAAGGAUUCUGAUACGUUACCAAACCGCCACCCAGAAAGGAAUUGCAAUGUGGACUUCUACAAGAAAUCAGAAACAGUAAAGAACAGCCUUGCUGCCUGCAGGGGUGACUGAGGCCCUGAAGUCCAGAGCUUUGCUGAGUCGUCACUUGGGAGAGUAAAUCUCCAAUGGUCUGCCCGUGCAGUGAGCAUUGUAACCUGUAUCACUGUAAAUCUUAUUUGCACCCAAACAAGUACAGUUAACAAAAGUUAAAGCCAGCCAGGAAGUGGUGGCCCACGCCUUUAAUCCCAGCACUCAGGAGGCAGAGGCAGACAGAUCUCUUUGGGCCAGUUUGGUCUACAAAGAUUGUUCUAGGACAGCCAGGGCUGCACAGAGAAACUCUGUCUCAAAACAAACAAACAAAGAGGCUGAUGGAUCAAUCAAUUGAAAGCUGAGCCCAGCAGGUGAGGGAAAACUCCCGUCUUUGUCAUGGCGCGUGUCCACUCCUCAAGGCCAUGGAGAUUCGGACCGAAGGGUUCCAGAGAUCGCGUGGUGAGGCCGUGUGGAGUUUGCCAUGCAGGGGAGCUCCCAGCACCAAGCAUCUGCCAGCAAAGAGCCCAACUUGAACCUUGGAAAACUGUGUCCUCUCUUCCCAAGUGUUCCACUGAGCCACUGACUUCUCCAGGAGUCAUUCAGAUUCUAAUCGUAACCCUUGAAGCAGCCAUUUCUUUCUGUGCUGUGGAAGCUGAACUUGCUAAAGCAGCUAGGAUUGGUCCCCUGGUGGUCUUGGCCAGUUCUUGGACAACGAGGCUAUAGCCAGGUCCUUAGGCAGAGUCUUGAGCCAGUACAGGUCCAUGCUUCCCAGCGGGGAUGGAUUUCUUUUCGGACAUACCUCGUAGAAACUGGUUUGUCUGGAGCUCCAUCACUUGUGCUAUACUGCCUGGGCAGAGGGAAAGACCACAGGGGAGGCGGUGGCUGUGCCGGGCAGGGAGACCUCACAGCUAUUGUGCUCCAUGGAACAGCCCAGGCCCUGCCAUCCUGCAUGGAUGUUUUGUUUAGUCAAGGCUGGCUGACCCCAAAGCGGGGAAUUAUUAUUGUAACAUGUGUUUGGUGGAAGGGCGAUGUUGGGAGACGGUGGGAGGGGAGAGGCGUCUUAUUGCUGUCUGGGUGGGUUGGAGCUGGUAGGAGCUUCUACCACUCUCCUCCGCUCUAUCUCCUUGUCCCGGGAUCCAUGCUGUUCCUCUAAGAGAAGCAAUGAAAGGUCAACCUCGGGCUGCUGAAAACACGCCCCCUUGAGGUUAUCCGACGGCCUAAGCUGUAUCCUAUGGGAUGGGAAAGGUGUGCUGUUGUCGGUGGGAUCAUCUGAAGGCUGACCCUUCAAGCGCCAGGGUAGCUAGCUGUGCAGCUAGCUCAGAGUUAAAACGAGCUCGGGAGAAGACAUAGGAAGCCAUUGUCUUGCUGGAUUUUCUGGCCCAUUAAGAAGUCUGGACUGUAACCUUGAAGACAGGAUGUGACCCCCACAUAAGUUCCUCACCUUGAUGACCCACAUGAAUCCAUCACAGUGCUCUCCAGCGCUCAUCUCUCACUGGGACUGAGAAUGAAAGAGUUGGUCUUUGAAUGUGUUCUCACCAUAGCCACAUAGGAAGAAUGUCGCAUCUGUUUGCCACCUCUCUGGCAGGUCCCCUGAAUCUGUAGGUCAGAGGGCAGGAAUCCACUUGCCAAUGCAUGUUAAGUACCAGGCUUUGUGCGUCUACACGCGGAGAAUGCCAGGCUGCCCCACAAGGUACCCUGCUGGUUGUAAAAGAUGGAAUUUGCUGUUGAAGUCACAGUUUGCAAUCUUGAUGUUCACGCCAGCCUCUGAGGGUUUGUCUGCCUUGAAGGCUGUCAGGACAGUGCACUUCUGGUGGCACAUUAGACACUACUGUUGGAAUUUGCUUCAGGCCUCUGUUUUCUCUCCCACUGCCACGAGGCACCGGGUACCCAAAUACCUCUCUUCCACUAGCAGGUUUCAUAACAAGGCUGAUUUCCCAGUGUCGAUCAUUUGGAUCACUCUUGUUGGGAUUGUUGGGGUCUUCAUGCAUCCUUAGCUCACAGGAUGUUCUCUGGAUGGUAGAGGCGUGCUUUGCAUUGAGGAUGCAAUGGGUGGACAUUGAGAAUGCUGGGUUAUCUUGGCUGAGGAUCUUCAGCAGCUGCCCGUGUGGGGUCUCUCUUUCUCUCAAGCAGAUAUGGCUGAGGGGCCCUGCAGCUUGUCCAGACCUGCCGGUGGGCCUCAGAGUCAAGGGCACAGGGUGGGGCGGGGAGGUGGGGAGAGUGAGCUUAAGUUUGAGAAAGGUGUGCACUUGUUUCAAGUCACCUCAGGUGAGAGCCGAAGGUUCACCUGGUGAAGUUAUCUUUAUAGUAGAAAUAAACGCACUGCUGGACCAAAAAAAAUUUUUUUAAAUAAUUUUCAAAGGAAAAAGUGAUUAAAAGAAAAGAAGUGAAAAGUAUAAAAGAUUAAAACUAGGGAGAGCUAAGAGGAGCAACAAACCAGACCCAGCCAGGACUCCCAGGGGAUUGUAAAAUGUUUGCGAUUGUAAAACGACAGUUUCAUAUAAAGUCACUUGCAUGGCAAGGCUGGGGUAGUCAGUAAUAGAAUUCUCAACUGGCCCCUUUGCUUAAAGGAAACUAUACAAGGUCCCAAAGGGCUUUUGUUUUUAUGUGGGUCCUGAUUACCAAUACUUACCUUAUUAGAAAUGACAACCUAUAAGAUUCUUCAAUGGCCUUCUCAUCUCUAGUUUGCACAGGGCUCGCAGUGUUUGGCUUUUUUUCCAGAGCUUUAUCAGAGCAACUUCGCUUAAGACUCUAAACUCGGGUUUCAGAGUGAUGCCGCCAUUUAACGGGCAUUGGGACAAAACGCCAGAGUAAGCCGUCACUUUAGUGUCAGCCUAAGCACGGAGAGGGUGGUCUCAGCCUGCUCAGUUGCUCUGGAGUAGAUUCUUGCUUCUGGAGAACUCUAGAACCUCCUGAGUCAGUCUCAGCAUCUUCAAUUAAAGCUAAGUGCAAAGGAUGGAAAUCUUGUUCCCUCAGCCGCCCAGGAGGCUACAAGACCUUGUGUCAUUAAAAAAAA
rnacentral:lncRNA from 1 species